AAGGGCACCACAAGAACGCGUGGAGCAUGUGGCUUAAUUUGACUCAACGCGGGAAAUCUUACCGGGUCCGGACACACUGAGGAUUGACAGAUAUACGCUACGUUGCGCUGCCUUCGGGUGCGCACGUGGCUCAAAGAUGCUAGUUCUUUCAUGAUUAUGUGAUAGGUGGUGCAUGGCCGUUCUUAGUUCGUGGAGUGAUCUGUCUGCUUAAUUGCGUAUCAAUAAUAGAGACCUAGUAUACGCGUAUUACUCAUGUGGUAGUGACCCCCUUCUCACGGAGGCGCGUGUCGCACAUAUGGUAUACGCACUGGUCUCAGAUAGCAACGAACGUGACCGUAUUCUAUUGUUGCAGUGAAUUAUACGUGUGCUUUAUUGUACACAUUCCCACUGCUUAGUGUGCGCUGCCAGCACUUGUUGCUGCUGCGUCACACAUUAAACUAUAGAGACCGCUGUUUCUUCUUUAAACCAGAGGAAGGAUACGGCAAUAACAGGUCUGUGAUGCCCUCAGAUGUUCCGGGCUGCACACGUGCUACAAUGAUCAUUGCACUGUGCAUCUAACCCAAUGUGCGCGGACGCCACGAUACGUAAAAUUGUCUUCGGGCAUUUUUUAUGUAUUCGCUUGUGCGACUGCGCCGAACCUACUUCGAAAGUAAAAUUUUUAAGUGGGUAAUCCAUUAGAAGUAAUGACUCGCAUAGACCAUGGCACACUAUAUGUACGCGCAGGUCUACCCGGCUCGCCUUUGUGUGAGUGCAGUGCGUAGCUUGUUGUUUCGUACGUGCCACUCCGUAUUAAUUCGUACGUGGGGAUAGAUCAUUGUUUAAUUGUUGGUCUCGGUCUUAACUAGGAAUGCCUUGUACGGGUCUUUGGUUCAACAUACCACCCGGAAUACGUCCCUGCCCUUUGUACACACCGCCCGUCGCUCUUACCGAUGGAUUAUACUAUGAAUCUAUAGGACUGCCAAAGCUUUGCGGCGUGUUCGCACACCGCGCUUAGUGGAAAUAUAUAUGAAUAGUGUGAUCUAAAGGAAAGAGAAGU
rnacentral:rRNA from 1 species